rnacentral:rRNA from 1 species
AUACGGAGGAUCCGAGCGUUAUCCGGAUUUAUUGGGUUUAAAGGGUGCGCAGGCGGCCAUUUAAGUCAGCGGUUAAAUCGUGGGGCUCAACCCCAUUCUGCCGUUGAUACUGGGUGGCUUGAUUGCGGUCGAGGUUGGCGGAAUUCGUUGUGUAGCGGUGAAAUGCAUAGAUAUGACGAAGAACACCGAUUGCGUAGGCAGCUGACCAGACCGCAAAUGACGCUCAUGCACGAAAGUGCGGGGAUCGAACAGGAUUAGAUCCCCUGGUAGUCCGCACAGUAAACGAUGAAUACUUGUUUUCGGCGAUAUAAUGUCGGAGGCAAAGCGAAAGCGAUAAGUAUUCCACCUGGGGAGUACGCCGGCAACGGUGAAACUCAAAUGAAUUGACGGGG